ACUCUUGCGAUUUUUAUUCAUUCUUGCUAUAAUGAAAGAGUCAGUUUAUCUGACUAUGAUGCUAAACGAUAAGCAGAAUAGAUGUAUAGUGGACUCGGGGGCAGUACCCGACACCUCCACCAUUUAUGGGGGUGAAACAGGAUCGACACGCAUAAUAAAGGCUUACUCUUGUAUCCGGCAUGGUUCCGCCGUUAUCGGGCUAAUAAUAUAAACGCAAAUGAUAAUUUUGCUCCAGUUGCAAUGGCUGCUUAAUUUUAAGCAUCUUUUGUAGCGACCAAUCCCUAAACAAUAUGAGCGUUUAGGUGGGGCUUCGUGGAUUGCCUAGCAACAGAAAAUCCACGGCU
rnacentral:tmRNA from 1 species